AGCGGCGGACGGGUGAGUAACACGUGGGUAACCUGCCCAAGAGACUGGGAUAACACCUGGAAACAGAUGCUAAUACCGGAUAACAACACUAGACGCAUGUCUAGAGUUUGAAAGAUGGUUCUGCUAUCACUCUUGGAUGGACCUGCGGUGCAUUAGCUAGUUGGUAAGGUAACGGCUUACCAAGGCAAUGAUGCAUAGCCGAGUUGAGAGACUGAUCGGCCACAUUGGGACUGAGACACGGCCCAAACUCCUACGGGAGGCAGCAGUAGGGAAUCUUCCACAAUGGACGAAAGUCUGAUGGAGCAACGCCGCGUGAGUGAAGAAGGGUUUCGGCUCGUAAAGCUCUGUUGGUAGUGAAGAAAGACAGAGGUAGUAACUGGCCUUUAUUUGACGGUAAUUACUUAGAAAGUCACGGCUAACUACGUGCCAGCAGCCGCGGUAAUACGUAGGUGGCAAGCGUUGUCCGGAUUUAUUGGGCGUAAAGCGAGUGCAGGCGGUUCAAUAAGUCUGAUGUGAAAGCCUUCGGCUCAACCGGAGAAUUGCAUCAGAAACUGUUGAACUUGAGUGCAGAAGAGGAGAGUGGAACUCCAUGUGUAGCGGUGGAAUGCGUAGAUAUAUGGAAGAACACCAGUGGCGAAAGCGGCUCUCUGGUCUGCAACUGACGCUGAGGCUCGAAAGCAUGGGUAGCGAACAGGAUUAGAUACCCUGGGUAGUCCAUGCCGUAAACGAUGAGUGCUAAGUGU
rnacentral:rRNA from 1 species